rnacentral:lncRNA from 1 species
ACCGCAUAACCAUUAAAAUCCAUUCAAUAUUAAAAAACCAAACACUCCAAACCAUUUCCAUUUACAAUGCCAUGCAUAAUUAACACCAAACAUUACAAGACAUUACCAUCACAACAAAUAAAAUGACCACAUGACAUAACCUAUCACAUGAGCCUAAAACAGCCAAGCCACGACCUGUCAUAAUACCUAGCACCCUACAGCAACAAUUAUUGCAAACACCGGCCUACAACCAUCUACAGUAAUCCAUCGAGCCAAACAUCAAUCCUGCAGCAGGUUAAGGCAACCUCAUCAUAGCCCUACAACAACAUAUGUGGCAUAAUCAGUCUGCAUCCAAUGAACAAUAACAAAACCUAACCACAACAUUCCACAUCAAGAGCACAAAUGCACAACCAUCAAAUAUACAAAUUCCAUGCACAAACCACUACUGCAACACGAGUCCAAGCUCACAAAUCAAUUCCACAUGGCCUAUGACUCACCUUCAAAGCAACUCAAUUAACCUUUCCAAGCACCUGCGAAUUUGAAUGUACAACUCAGAAAAGUAAAAACACGAUUUCACUUGCUUUUUUCAUGACAGAACAAUAAGACAACCCUACAUCAUUGGCUAACAGAGAAAUAUGAGUUACUUGCAUAUUUUUUCAUAACAGAAUAAAUUUCAACCUGCAUAAUGUUUUAACAGAAAACUCAAACCCACAUGCAUAACAUUUUAACUUCCUUGCAAGUUUUCUAACACUUAAACUCACUAAUAGAAUUCACUUCACUUUUCUCACUAACAUAUUAACUUCACCCUUAUAGAUAACUCUAACCAACUUCCAACUAACGGCUAACAACAUUCCAUUUCACACUCAUUUUAACACUAACUGAUUUCAAAAUCUCUAACUAACUCGAGUGAAUUUCAGAUGAAUUUCAGAUGCAUUUAAGUUGCAUCUCUAACAGACUAUUAGAGUCUAUAAAUUCCAGGCCUCACUCUUCAAUUAUUCAACAAACACAAAACAUGAUUCUCAUUCUCCAAAAUUCUCAGAAAUCCCCUUUUCAUCAUUUUUACAAUUUUCACUCUUCAACACUAUGAUUCACUCUUCAAAUCUCAGAACCUUUAUCUUUACCCUCAGCUAAAGAUCCUUUGACAUACUCCAUUGAAGCUUCAAUAGAGUAGAGCUUAGCCUCAUCACACUUAGAGUUUUCUCCCUCUAUAUUUCCUUGUUCACGAUCUCUCAGGAAGUUUCAAAAUCAGAAUUCAUAGAAGAAAAAGAGGAAGAAGAAUCAGACGAAUGAAAAGAAACAUUUGAAGAUUCAGAAGCUUUCGUACCUGAUCUCCGACAUUACUCUAGUGUGUUACCUCCACUCUUAUUUAUUUAUUCACUCAUAUGAGUUACCGGUAUGUCGAGUAAGGUUAGGGG